GUUGCCAACCGUAAAAAUUUACUUACACCUACAACCGCCAGGGAACUACGAGCUUUAGCUUAAAACCCAAAGGACUUGACGGUGUCCCACCCAACUAGAGGAGCCUGUCCUAUAAUCGAUACUCCACGUUAUACCUAACCACUUUUUGCUUAUCAGCCUGUACACCUCCGUCGUAAGCUUACCAUAUGAACGCAUAACAGUAGGCCUAAGGGCUUAACGCCACAAUGGCAGGUCAAGGUGCAGCUCACAAAGUGGUAGAGAUGAGCUACAAUUUCUAAAUUAGAACAAACGAAAUACUUUAUGAAACAGAGUCAUGAAGGUGGAUUUAGUAGUAAGUGGGGAAUAGAGAGCCCCACUAAACUCGGCCCUGGGACG
rnacentral:rRNA from 1 species